rnacentral:rRNA from 1 species
CCCGCACAAGCGGUGGAGCAUGUGGUUUAAUUCGACGAUACGCGAAGAACCUUACCUGGCCUUGACAUAGAAAGAACUUUCCAGAGACGGAUUGGUGCUAGUUUACUAGAGCUUUCAUACAGGUGCUGCACGGCUGUCGUCAGCUCGUGUCGUGAGAUGUUGGGUUAAGUCCCGCAACGAGCGCAACCCUCGUGUUUAGUUACUAACAGUUCGGCUGAGGACUCUAAACAGACUGCCUGGGUAACCAGGAGGAAGGCGAGGACGACGUCAAGUCAUCAUGGCCCUUACGGCCAGGGCUACACACGUGCUACAAUGGGGUAUACAAAGAGCUGCAAUACGGUGACGUGGAGCAAAUCUCAUAAAAUAUCUCCCAGUUCGGAUUGAAGUCUGCAACUCGACUUCAUGAAGUUGGAAUCGCUAGUAAUCGUAGAUCAGCAAUGCUACGGUGAAUACGUUCCCGGGUCUUGUACUCACCGCCCGUCACACCAUGGGAAUUGAAUUCAUUCGAAGCGGGGAUGCUAAAAUAGCUACCUUCCACAGUGGAUUUAGUAACUAGGGUGAAGUCGUAACAAGGUA